CAAAAAAAAAAAAUGUGUUGAAGGUCUCACAGCUACUAAUUCAUAGAACCAGGAAUUAAAAUUGUGUCUAAGACUGCAACAUUGGUAUUUUUAGAAAGGAAAGGGAAUAGAUCAAUAAGACAAUCUGCACCAACCUAAAUUAAACCUAAAAGUAACUGCACCAACCUAAUAUUUAAGUAGCAAGUAUGAGCCCAGGAGUUUACAGUUGUAAUGAGCUAUGAUCAUGCCACUGCACUCCAGCCUAGGCAUCAGAGCAAGACACUCAUCUGAAAAAAAAAAAAAAAAAAAAGUGGUGACAAUGAAUUUAAACUCCUCUUUCAGCGAGCCUAACUCCGAAAGGAAUGGUAUUAUUUAGAGAACAUGGGGGCAAUGGUUUUUGGUUAUUGUUUUUAAUGGGAGAGAGUUGGGCAUGUUUAUAUGCUGAGGAAAGGAGGUAGUAGAUAUUCAAAACAGGAGACAGGUGGAAUAACCAAUAGGAGCCAGGUCACUGAAAAGAGGCUGGGUUUUAGAGCACCUGCAGAGCAUGGGCUUUCAGCAGGAAGAGGGACAGUUUUUCCUAAGAAAAAGAAGAUAGGGAGAGAGAAGGAGAGAAGGACUCAUGGAUAUAGAGAAGUUAUGGAGCUAGAAAACUGAUUCUGCAGAACGCGUACUAUCUCUGUGAAGGAGGAGGCACAGUCACACGAUGAGUGUGUGUGGAUGGGAGUGAGCUGAGGGAUGAGGGUUUGGAAUCACUGAUACACUGGGAAGGAAGCUGACCAGGCUUAGGAUUGCCAGUCAUCAUGGAGGACCCCACUAAAACUGGAGACCAUAAAUUUGGGUGGACCAGUAAGUGCAACUCCCACUUACUGUUACCAUUCCUGAGAUAUGUGCUUUACACAGAUCUUUCCUUUGUCUUUGUUCCUCUACUAAACUAUGCUGUGUCUAGGUAUAAAUUUAUUUUCGUUGUUGCUGCUUGAUAAUUGUUUUAUUUCCCAGAUAUGAUGAUUACUGGCUUCAAAUAAUUAUAGAAAGUUCACAGCUGGAAUUGAUUUGCAUAUUGUUUUCUCAUAUUCUUUUCUUCUGGAACUCCUUUUCAUAUACAUUUGACUUCAUGCCUCUUAACUUCUCUGUCACAUUUUCCAUCAUGUUUUUACUUAGACCUAUCUUCCAGUUACUAACUCCUUUAUUAUCUGCACCUAUUCUGUUUUUUAAACCAUCAGUCGAAUUUUAAUUUCUAUUCAUAGAUUUUUUUCAACUUCCAGAAGUUCUAGUGAAUUAUAAAAAUUUUUGCUAUGGUCUGAAUGUUUGUGCCCCUGUUCCCAAUUCAUGUGUUGAAACCUAAUCCUCAAUGUGAUAGUAUUAAGGGGUGGAGCCUUUAGGAGGUGAUGAGGUCAUGAGAGCACAGCCCUCAUGAGUGGGAUCAGUGCCCUUAUAAAAGAAGCCCAAGGAAGCUUGUAUGCUCCUUCCACCAAGUGAGGACACAGCUAGCAGGUGCUGUGUAUGGAGCCAAAAGCUAGCCCUUACCAGACACCAAAUCUACUGGCACUUUUUUUUUUUUUUUUUUUUUGAGAGAAAUCUCACUUUUGUCCCCCAGGCUUGAGUGCAAUGGCUCAACCUCGGCUCACUGCAACCUCCGCCUCCCAGGUUCAAAUGAUUCUCCCGCCUCUACCUCCCAAGUAGCUGGGAUUAAGGCACCUGCCACCAUGCCCAGCUAAUUUUUCUAUUUUUUAGUAGAGACGGGGUUUCACCAUGUUGGCCAGGCUGGUUUUGAACUCCUGACCUCAGAUGAUCCGCCCACCUCAGCCUCCCAAAGUGCUGGGAUUACAGGCGUGAGCCACUGCACCCAGCCUCUACUGGCACCUUGAUCUUGGACUUCCUAGCCUCUAGAACUAGAAGAAGUAUAUUUCUGAUAUUUUUGUUAACUCAUCUAAGGUAUUGUGUUAGAGUAGCCCAAACAGGCUAAGAGAAACUUCCUGCUCUUUACCGAGGGACUAUAUUUUUCUUAUGUUUGGAUUCCUGAAUUUAAUUAAAUUAAAUAAUUUUAAAUAUACAGUAUUAUAGUCUUCCUAAGAUAAUUAUAUUAUCUGAAAUUCUUUAUGAUCUAAUCAGCAUUUGUUCUAUUUGCAAUCUCUCAUAGUGGAUUCUGUUUUUAAAUGUUCAAUUGUAAGUUCAUCUUCACCAGUGCUUCAGUGAAAAAAUCCAACAUUUAUCCCUCCAGAAUGUCUUAUAUUUACUUCUAAAAAUCCCAGGAGUAUUACCACCCCUUAAUGUUAAUUUUAGUGUUAAUUUCUCAACAUAGAUGUUUCCAGCCCAUACAAGUAUUGUAAUUCAAGCUCCAAACACAAGUGAAGUCAAAUCUAUGGUUAUAAAUGUCUUAGGGAGAAUUUUUCUUCCAGAGAUUGGGCUAAAACAGACAAGCCACAUUACUGGUAUUUUUUUUCUAGACCACACUUGCUCUUCAAGGGUCCCAGCUAGCAAGAAUGGAGGGGGACCUAAGGAAGAAGACCCUAUUAGAUAUUUAGGAGGUAUACAGGAAGAGAAUAAAAAAUAUGAAAGUACAAUUAGGUACUACUGGAGAUAAUUGAGAAGAUAAAAAAUAUAUCUAAUAUCUAAUUGGAGAAUCAAAAUGGAUGCAAUAAGAAAAGCAAAUAUUAAAAUUUUCCAGAACUAAAGAAAGUCAUGUGUUCUCAAAAGAAAGUGAAGCAAGCAGGAUAAAAGACAUUUUUAGACCUAGACAUACCAUAGUGAAACAUAAGAAUGUAAGGAAUUAAAAAAAUUAUAAAAGUAUCAGGGAGAAAGUUAGCAUCCCUAUAAAGGAAAAAUAAUGAGAUGAUAGUUGAUUUGUCAUCAACAAUAAUAGAAGCCAGGAGAAAAAAUAGUUGUCAACCUAAAAUUAUAUGCCCAGCAAAAUUACUGCUGAAGACUCAAGUCAAAACAAAAACAAUCUUUGAUAUGAAAAGAAUAAGAAAGUUUACUACUCACUGACAUAUCAUAAAUAAUUACUAAAGAAUAUACAUCAACAAGAAAAAAACUGAAAUCAGAGGGAAAGCACGGGAUAGGAAAAAAAUGUGACAAUGUAAAAAAGGGACACUUUACUUUUUAAAGGACACUUUAAAAAAAAUCAAUUUUUAAAGUGAUUAAGGCCGGGUACAGUGGAUCAUGCCUGUAAUCCCAGCACUUUGGGAGGCUGAGGUGGGUGAAUCACAAGGUCAGGAGUUCAAGACCAGCCUGGCCAAGAUGGUGAAACCCUGUCUCUACUAAAAAUACAAAAAUUAGCCAGGCAUGGUGGCAGGUACCUGUAAUCCCAGCUACUCGGGAGGCUGAGGCAGAGAAUUGGCUUGAACCCCGGAGGCAGAGGUUGCAGUGAGCCGAGAUCACACCACUGCACUCCAACCUGGGUGACAGAGCAAGACUCCAUCUCAAAAAAAAAAAAAAAGAAAGAAAAAGAAAAAGAAAAGAAAAAAAAGUGCUUAAAAAAAUACAUUAGUCAGAAAUUUCCAACUUGAAUCAUACCAUUAAGAAAAUGAACACAAAUACCCAGAUGGUGAGAAAAUGUUAGCAAAGCAGAUAUCUGACAAAGAACUAGUAGCAAAGAUAUAUAAAUAAUUUUAAAAUUAUAAAGACACCAC
rnacentral:lncRNA from 10 species